UACGUAGGGUGCGAGCGUUGUCCGGAUUUAUUGGGCGUAAAGAGCUCGUAGGCGGUUUGUCGCGUCUGCCGUGAAAGUCCGGGGCUCAAGCUCCGGAUCGGCGUGGGUACGGGCAGACUAGAGUGAUGUAGGGGAGACUGGAAUUCCUGGUGUAGCGGUGAAAUGCGCAGAUAUCAGGAGGAACACCGAUGGCGAAGGCAG
rnacentral:rRNA from 1 species